GCGACUGGCCAAAGAGAAGCACCCCUCUGCGCAGAAGUAAAAUUGCUUUGCUAAGAAUCCUUUAUUUGAGUGUUCAAUUUCCUUAGGAUUUUGAACGUUAUUCCCAACAAUUCUGGUGCCCAAAUGUGGGACUCAAAUAUUCUCCUUCGGGAAGGGGGUCUUCGCUCACCCCACCCAGGGGGGAUGCAUCCCACUGUCUAGUUACAGUGGCCUGAGGGUGAAGGGAGAUCAGGUCCCACGUGUUGUGACGAAUAAAUCUGGGUUCUCAGCAAAGUGGACAGGAGAGGCUUGCAAGACCACGGCAAUAAGAGGACCAGGUGCUGAUAACCAGAUAGGAUGGUGUUCUUGCUGUGUAAGCAUGCUAGCCUUGGAAAUGAAUGCACUGUGGUAACCUAGAAUAAAUUUUUAUUACAAAGAAAAUGCAUUUACAUCUAGAAAAUGAAGACAAAAGAGAAGAAAAUUAAAAUGUCCUGCAGGCUGGGUGAGGUGGCUCAUACCUGUAAUCUCAGCACCAUGGGAGUCCAAAGCAGGAUUGCUCAAGACCAGACUGUCCUGGACAACAUAGCAGGAUCUCAUCUCUACAACAACAACAACUUAGCCAGGUCCACACUGCCUUUAUGAGCUGUAACACUCACCGCGAAGGUCUGCAGCUUCACUCCUGAGCCAGUGAGACCACUUAACCCACCAGAAGGAAGAAACUCCAGACACAUCCGAACAUCAGAAGGAACAAACUCUGGACACGCCACCUUUAAGAACUGUUAACACUCACUGCGAGGGUCCGUGGCUUCAUUCUUGAAGUCAGUGAGACCAAGAACCCACCAAUUCUGGACACACUAGUCCCUGCUUGAAAGCCACGUAACCAGUGAGGACCCCCAUGACAGCCCUGGAUAAAUAGUACCCCUCCUACCUUCCUGACACUUCCUAAUCCCUCUGACUGCUUUAGUUUUCUUCAUAACUCAAAUCGUCUUAUGUAUUUAGUGGCUUUUUUUUCCUCCCUUCCCUACUAGAAUAUAUGGCAAGGUCUGUGUUCUUUUCCCUUGGAUAUAGAUGGACCUUCUGACUGCUUGACUAAUAGACAAUGGUAAAUGUGACCAUAUUGCUGGGACCAUGGUCCAGGUUGCUGGGACCAGGCCUUAAAAAAUUGGAGGUUUCUUCUUCCUUUUUUUGAGAUGGAGUCUCGCUCUGUCACCCAGGCUGGAGUGCAGUGGCGUGAUCUCAGCUCACUGCAAGCUCUGCCUCCUGGGUUCACAACUUUCUCCUGCCUCAGCCUCCCAAGUAGC